rnacentral:SRP_RNA from 1 species
GCUGGGCGAGGUGGUACAUGCCUAUAGUCCCAGCUACUUGGGAGGCUGAGGCUGGAGGAUUGCUUGAGUCCAGGAGUUCCGGGCUGUAGUGUGCUAUGCCCAUCAGGUGUCCACACUAAGUUCGGCAUCAAUAUGGUGAACUCCCGGGAGCGGGGGACCACCAGGUUGCCUAAGGAGGGGUGAACCAGCCCAGGUUGGAAACAGAGCAGGUCUAAACUUCUAUGCUGAUCAGUAGUGGAAUAGCCAGUGCACUCCAGCCUGGGCAACAUAGUGAGACCCCAUCCCU